AUUGGAAUCAUCUGAGGAACUUAAAAAAAUACUGACACUUGGAUCCAGAGAUCCUGAUUUAGUUGGUGUGGGAUGGGGCCAGGGCUUCUAAUUUUAACGUGCAGCUGAGAUUAGAGACAUCGUAAAUGCUUUCAAGUGUUGAGAGUAACUGAUCAGGGAUCUUCUAUUGACAAGCUCUCUUCUCCCCAUCCCCACCCUAUUCACUUUGCUAAUAGAAAAAGGACUUUAAUUCAGAAAUGAAGAGAGACAUCAGCUGGGCUUUCAAAGGCAGGGAGGAAAUCCUCGUGGCUUAUAAAAGCCACUCUAAAGACUCUUGCAGACAUCUUGUGAACAGUUUGUAGGUCUGGGCAGAGGCGUGCCUGUAGCCGAGAGGGGUGGAGCCGGGAUAGUAACGAGUUGUCUGUCGUUGGACAAGUUGUAAGAGUCUCCAGAAGUUAAAGGAGUCUUAGGAAAUAUGGGUCUUGAUAGAUAAGAGGCAUGUAAUAGGAAAUAGGGGAUACUGUGGCAAACUGGAGACUGGGCACCCCCGAAGAAGGGCAGCUCAUGCUGUCAUGCAAAAAUAGGAGCCAGGUGGUGGAAGAUGUCCUAAUUUUUCAAGAUGAGAAAAAAUGAGUCAGAGAGGUGAAGUGACUUUAUCAAGAUUGCACAGCUAGUUCCUGCAGAAGCCAAGUCAACAGUUUCAUAGUCAUUCUAUGUCUUUUGGUUGGAGAAUUUAAUCCAUUUGCAAUUAAGGCACCCUGCAAUAAACCGUCUCAAUGUCCACGUCUGGCCCUGUUGGGGUUUGAUUGCACAGGAAAGCAGAGGAAUGUUAGAAUCCUUGGAAGAAUCCAACACAAAGCGAUGUCUAUUUGAAGCCACAUGUCUUUUGAGCUGAUUCAGACCAGCUGAACCAAUUCACUCCCUCUCCAUUAGAAAGGGCCAUCCCACACUGUGGUCAUCAGAGACCAAAGGUUUGUCUGUCUUCAGUCUGAAGUCUUUCUUUGGACCUUUGGGACUAAUUGAAUAUAACCUUCCCCAUCAGGAAAAUAAUAAGACUUUAAAUGGAGCCUUCAAAGCUUGCUGAUGACAUCAGAGGAGUCACUGUGUGAUGAGAGAGGUCUCAAAAAUACUAUAAAGCACACCACAGGGAUCUGAAGAGCUCUUCUGAGCCCAGCAUGGAGCCCAGCCUAAAGCAAGAGGAGAAAACCCCAAGGUGCAGACUGAGAAAGAUCCUGGAGCCACACAGCCUGAUCCUGAGAUACUGCUUGGAUUACUCACUGAGCCCAAGGCUGAGGGCAGGAGAUGUUUUACACCACAUAUACUUCUCCCAGGGCUAUGUGCCUAUCUACAUGACCUGGGAAAGGGGGUCAAGGCUGUUCUGUUCAGGACUGAGAUACUGAUUGGCUCUGGAAAAUGUGUUUUAGGGUAGCCAGUAGGUUGAAGAUUAUGUCUUGGCCUUAGAAGUACCAAUCCAAGUCCAGAAUGUUCACACAAACUGGUAAAAAUCUGUUUCCUAGAUGCCAUGAGGAGGCCCCAGUGCUGGUUCCAGAGACCUUAAGGACAGGUGUCCUGGAGGGUUCUUAGCCACUAUGAAGACUGUAGAGAUAUUCCCAGAGUAAGAGAGGUGUUACAUCUAGAAGAGGGCAGUGGACAGCUAUAUGUCCACAUAGGAAAACAUGUCCUGAGAUGGGAUACACAAAGGGUACACAUACAGAGUCAGGAUAACAUUCAAUAUUCACUUGGCAAUGACAAUUGUCCAUGGGAGAAGAUGACUUGUGUGGUUUUAGGGAAUAGUGAUGGGGUGGAUUAGGCCUGGUUGUAGUGAUGGGGUGGAGAAGAGCAUCACCAGGUCCCUUAGGGAUAGUUUCCAAGACUUCUGGGAAGUGAGGUGGCAGAACAAGAGCAUCACUGCACACUUGAGAGUUGAACAUGAUGGGCAUGGAUAAUUGGAAGAGAACUGAAGAGGGCGGAGAAAACAGGGACUCUGGAUUCUGCAAGUCAUAGUGAUUUCCUCAGCAUUCUCUGACAAUAGGAUGCCAGCAAAGUCACCCAAAACUCAAUCAGAUUGUGAGUGACAAAUUCAGCACCAAAAUACGUUUUCACUGUGAACUGCUAUCUGGGACAGUUAAUACAAGACUAUUCAGGGAUCUCUGUUUAUACAGACAAUGAGCCAUUUGACUUUUCCCUAUUGUCUCUGUAUACAGCUUUGACUUUCACGUGGGUCUGCCAGUCUUCUUACAUAUCUUCCAUUAUUAGCUGAUGAGCACCUGUUCAAUUUCUAUUUUUUUUGGUCCCUCUAUCCAUGAUUUCAUAGUCAUAUAUCUUUGUGGAUGGCCCCUAAUACUCCCUGACAUUUACAUCCUUGUAUAGUCCCCUCCUACAUUGAUUCUUUGCUUCUUUAAAAACAAAAUUCAGUGGAAGUGAUAAUAUGUGACUUCAAAGCUAGGUCAUAAAGUCAUUGUGGCUUCCAACUUACUCCUUCUUAGAUUGCUUGUUCUGGGGGAAGCCAGAGCAUUCAAGAAUUCCUGUAAAGAAGCCCACAUAAAGAAGGAUUGAGGCUUCCAACCAUUACCCAAAACCCAACCAUUACACCAACACCACGUAAGGAAGCCACCUGAGAAGUGGAUUCCAAGCCUACAGACGGCUACAUCCCUGGCCAAUAUCUGAUUGCAGCCUUGCAAGAGAUCUUGAACCAGAGCCAUCCAGCUGCUCCUGAAUUUCUGACCCCUAGAAAGAGAGAUAAUGGUGAUCAUUGUUUUAAACCACUAAGUUUUGGAAUUACUUAUUAUGUAGCAAUAGUUAACUAAUAGGAAAGAGGACAAGAGCACAGAGGGGAAGGGCAAAGAGGCAGUGAAUCGCUCCAAGGCAGUGUGACUGAGACUUGAUUGACAAACUGGAAACAUGUGGUUGGCCAUAUUUCAGUAUUGCUAUGGACCAGUGACUCCUGUGCACCUCCCAUUUUCCCAUGUUGGUCGAAAAGUGGUUGUCCUAUGUCUCUCCCACCAACAUAUGUUGGGUGAGUUGGAGCAGAAAACUGGUCUUUUCAGUUCAGAGGUGUUCAACUCAACAGAAGCUGUACAUGAGCAGCUGAACUCAAGGAACCACACCUGCAACACUUCAUCCACAUCUAGAUCUGAGUAAAAUGGAUGGUGAACCUGAGUCUGGUGCCGUAAUAAAUGAAACCUGUGGAGGAGCUUGGGAAGGUCUGAGUGUAUUUUGCAUACAGAAGGAAUGUAGAUAAUUUGUGGCCAGUGGACAGAUGGUAGUAGUUUUAAAACAUAUUCACAAAUUCUUUGAAUCCUCCCACAAAAAGUGGAGUUUAAUUCCCUACCCUUUGAAUAUAAAUCAGUUUUAGAUACCUGCUUCUAAUUAGUAGAAUGCAGUUGAAGUGAUGUUACAUGACUUAGAAAGCUAGGUUAGAAAAGAUGAUAAAGUUCCCAUCCUGGCUCUCAGUCUGUACUUUUGCCCUUGGAGCUUUUGAAACCCAGUCAUCAUGUUGUGAGGCAGCCCAGGCCACAUAGGGAAACCACAUGUAAGUUUUCUGGCUAAUAGCCCCAGCUGAGGUUCGAGCAAUACCUUCCAAACAUGUGAGUGAGAGUGCUUUCAGAUGAUUCCAGCCUUUUGUGCUCACAGCUGAUGCCAGCUGGAGCAGAAACUAAAUUAUCCCCACCAAGCCCUGCUCAAAUUGUAGAUUUAUAAGCAAAGUAAAUGUUGUCAUUGUUUUAAAACACUAAGUUUAGGAGUCAUUUGUUAGGCAGCCACAGUAACUGUGACAAGAUCCUCUGUCUUUUCUUUCUUGGCUCCCCCAAUUUUUUUCAUCUUGGAGAGAAACCUGAGACACAUUCUGGGGUCCCUUUUCAUUAUUUUCUCCUUUGAGGUAGGGUACCAUUAGUCUCACCCAAUGGAAAAAGAAAAUGUAAAGACAUUGUCCAUUUGAGAAGGACAUGCCCAUAUUAAAUCAACUUUCAUUCUCUGUGUCAAGGGUGUAUUGUGAGAAAUUCUCCCUCAGUGUCCCAGCUCUCAUAUAACUAUGGUAACACAGCAACUGUCUCAAAGUGGCAAAUACCUUAGCGAGGUAAUCCAGUUUAUAUUUAUAACCUCAGGGAUAUUUCUCAAUAAGAGUAUGUAUUCCCAAAUGCACCAAGUACUUGAUAAAGAAUUGGACAGCAAUAGCCUUUCCUACCAUUUUUAAUAAACCUACAUAAUUCUCUAGCCAGGGGUCAUAUGCUAAUUCACCCUGUCUCUUAUGAUGCAACUUCACUCAAUAAAACUGUCAUCCCUUCUUCAUGAAAAAGGACAUCCUAAGCUUUUAAAGGCUCCUCUGCAUGUUGAUGAUAGCACUCAUGUAGGGAGCUAGAUCUCAUAUGUAAUCUGGUACCUCUUUCCAGUGAUGGCCUCCUUUAGUCCCCUGUAUAAUGUGCUAUAUGAAAUUAGUUUCAAACUGCCUCCAUAGCUGCAAUACCAGCCAUUCUUCUUUCCUUCUGGAAUAACUUCCCCUGUCUCUGAAGUGGCCAUGUGUCUUGUCCUGUUGGCAACACUGAAGGUAGUGGUAGGGGUCUUUCCCCGUGGCAUCUCCAGGAUAAGUCAUUGGUUCUACCAGCUUCCCUGGAUGCAGUGAGAGAGUCUUUCCUGUUUUCUCCCUUCUCCUAAGGGCUCAAAAAUACUUAGAAAUGCAGAGUAACCAGGGCAUCAAUUCAUGAACCAUGUUAUCUUCCCUCAUAGCCCUCUCAUAGCACUUCCACCUUCUGCCAUGUCCCUCAGGAACCAUCCUGUCACCAACCAUCCAACCUCAGCCAAGUGACCUUGCCACUGCUCCCAUGGGGAUGUCUUAUAGCCCUUUCCAGUUAGCCUCUUUCCAUAAUUUAAAAAAACCAUAAUACCAAAUCAACUGGCACUGGCAGGGACCCCAUAGUAAAUCCCAAACAUCAG
rnacentral:lncRNA from 1 species